rnacentral:misc_RNA from 1 species
CGCACAUACUCGCCCGCACCGACGCGUGCACACGCCCGCUUUACCACCUGCUGUAUCUCUGCAAUGGACACGCGCGGCCUCCGUCAUUUGAAGCGCUACCUCGGCGAGGAGGGCGAACAGCUGGCCAGGGCAAAGCGAGCCAGCGAUGUCGUUCCCGUCCUUGCUGCCCGGCAGGCGGCGGCAGCGGCAGCAGCUCGUGCGACAGCUGCCGACGUGACCACUGUUUCGAACACGGUUCCCGCACCGCUCUCGCCCUCCGUCAUGAAGUACUUGGAGGCCGUCUCUCGAGUGGAGCGACGCAUAAGCUCUCUCGCACCCAGAUGGCUCUGGCGGCCGCCCUCGCAGCGCCGGGCGCUCCCUCUAUGCGGAGUCGCGCGGAGGGUUCGGAGAAUGGCGAGAUCGCCCUAGCGGUCACUCGUGCGAAGGUGGCUGACAUGGCUGCGGCGGUGGACACGCUCGCGGUGUCGGCGCUGGAGCUCGCCGCACGCCGCGCUGCCGAGGACAAGGAGGCGCGUAGAACUACCGCAGAGAGCUCCUCCCUCUUUGUCCUAGUCGACACCAGCAGCGAGGCGGCUGAAGUUGCAGGACAGCUAGAGGAGCGCUACGGGCUAACUGUCCUCUUGCUUAGGGACGACAACGCCUGCCGCCACCCGACUUUCCCGUCCCCUGCCAGUGGAGCUGGCGCAAAUACGCUAAGGGGCACCCCCUCGAAGACGCCGGCGGCAGAACGGCGCAAGACAAAGUCAAGCUCGCUGAUGGUCGACGAGGUGGCGCGGAAGGAUGAGGCCACGGAGAGUACUCUGGCGUUAGCGGGUGCGGUGGUUCUGGUGGUGGCGACGCCUGCAGCGUUCCUCGCAGUGGACCGCCGCAGCGCUAUUUGGAAGUUCAUUGGCAGCUGCGCACUUCUGCUCCGUCGUGCGCCGACGCACACCGGUUCUCUGCUGCACACGCUUAAGGGCAGCAAAGCAGCAGCAUCUUCUUCCCCGACCAAGACCACACCACACGCGCUUAACGCGCAGCGGUGGGACUGCCUCGGCCACGUUCCGGCAAUCGCUGUUCUGGCGGCAGAGCAGAAAUGGCUGACGGAGCCGGAGCUGGACCUGCUGACAACACUGCGUGUAGAACGCCGUGUUGGCAGCGGUGUGGGUGUGGUGAGUAAGCCCACCGACGCCUCCGUCUCCAGCGCUGUCGCGGCGCUUCGAGCACCAGUGACGGUCCACUACGCUGUGGCGCAGGGAACGCAUCGCUUUCAGUUUCUCUUUGGUCUGCUGAAGGGCCUGGCGCCGAACCGCGGCAUCGUCGUACACGUCGCCACGCGCGAGUGCGUGACCUUCCUCUACGACACUCUCUACUCCUUGUUGGGUGAGCUGCCAUCAUAUGUGCAACUGCUGAGCGACUACGAGGGUGCGAGCGCGUACACAAACAUGCACACCGCCGCUGACCGCCAGCGGCUUUGCGUCGCCUUUGACUCAACGGUCGAGUCGGGGCAAAAUGGCAAGACGGCGGCGGUGCUCCUGUCCUGCCACGGACUUGUCCCACGGCGCGGCUCUGUCUUCCUGCAGUACGACAUCAUUCCUGACCUCCUCAACUACAACCAAUUCAUAGCUGAGGUGCUGUCGCCCGGUGCAGUUGCGGCCGACGCGGGCAAUGAUGCCGGAGGCACCGCGUCGUCUGCAGCAGCCAAGGUGGCGGUGCGGCGGGAGAGGACGGCUCGCCAGCGCAAGCGCAGUACCUCUCCUACCCCAGCUCCCGUGGCAGCGCGGCGGGUGGGCGCGGAAGCUACGAACUCCGCUGAAGACGCCUCCUCGGGAAACAAGGCGACGAUCCCUGCAGCGGUGAACUACACACAUAUUCUGCUCCUCUUUCGUCCGAACGAAGUUGCUGGGGCGCUGCGUCACCUGCGCCGAGACGGGGCCAGCCGCUACCGGCUCGAAUUUCGCGAGCUCGGCACUCGGGCCAGCGGCCGCUAUUUCCUUAUCGGUGAAAAGCUCAAGUCCAUGAACAAAAAGCUUUUUCCUGUCCAGAACGCAGCCUACUAUGCCUACAAGGCCACCAUGCGCACCUACAGCACCAUUGGGCCGCGCGAUGUGUACGACGAGACGAAGGUGAGCCUGGAGAAGGUUGCGGAGGAGUUCGGCUACACGGAGCUGCCGCUGCUCGACCUCCGCCUGAAGGACACGGUUUUUCGUCCCAAGGAGGACUAUUACCGUGCUGCUCGGCGGAAGCAGGAUGCGGAACGCCGUGCCUACAAGGCGUUUGCGCAGGGGAACAUCGUUGGUGAGUCCCCAGAAGAGCACAUCGCUGACAGUGUCGCGUAAUGCAUACAGCUGCGUUCUGGGAUGUGCCCGUGGCGAUGUGGUGCUGCGGUGCGUGCGGACAUGGUGGUGAUGCUGAUGUUGCCGUUGAGCGGUGGCGACGACUGGUCAACUGCCCGCUUAACACUAAUAAGCACGGCGAAUAACGAAGCGGAAGGAAAAACGACUUUUCGGCACCGUUGCUACCGGUAUCGCACAAGCGCGCUCAGGCACACAUGCAACGAAGAGUCUUCUCCGUGCUGGUCUCAGCGUGGCUGUACCUGGUCGUGUGCCGAGCUUGCCGAAAGAGUCUGGGCUCCAUUUGUUUCUCCACUCAAGUAUGCGUAUUCUAAUCGUACGCGUUGAUGGAGGCUCAAUAC